rnacentral:lncRNA from 1 species
CCUAUGAAUAAUACCACCUGUGGUACUGAGGGUUCUGUAACAGUGGUAGGCUUUACCAUACUAUUGCUUGCAGUCUACCUGGCUAUUGCUAGCCAAAUAAAAGUUUUGAGGCACAAACGGAGCCAAUGAAACAAUCCUUUUUAGACACUAAAUUAUUUCCUUCCUGUUCAUGUCAUGCUUGAAAAAUGUGUGGAUAUCAAACAAGUGCAUAAUAUCUAAUGAAAUGUAGACUUUGAAAAGCUCUUAGAAGCCUUCAGAUCAACCUCUGAAAUGUGAUGAUGCUCAGCAUACAGGAAGAAAUAUAUUGCUCCAUACAGACCUCAGAACACUCAUGAAAAUACAACACAAAGUAUACAAAGUCUCAGCAAAGAUUCUAAUAAAACUUUACAGGCUUUGGAGCACGAAAACAGAGCAGGAACAACAGAUUGCUAUGAUUUUAGAGAACUUUGUGGUUUUCCCUGUUUGCCAAUGCAAAAUGUCAAGGAUGGGAACCCAGGGAAAAGGAAAUCUACAGCUUUCAGACUUUUUGCUGUCCUAUGCAACCAUGGUAAUUAAGGCCAUCAUAUUUUUAAGCAUAUUGAUUUCUACAACACCUCUGCAAGGUAAACCCAACUCCCCUGUUUUACAGAGGCACCAGAAAACUGAUUAUGUUGAAAAUCACACCAUGAAGAGAGAAUCAAAUUCAGGUUUCACAAAUCCCAGGUACCUCCAUCCUCAGGAAAGGUUUGCAAAAGUCUUCAAAAGCUUCGCUUUCUCUCCAUUCAACAAAAGAUUAAUUUGUGAAAAUUUAGACUAGCAUUUGACUGAAAAUAUUAACCAAAUAUAUGCUCCGAACGAAUCUCUUUUGAACACUGCAAAGUGGCAUUACUUUGGAACUUUUGAAUUGUGUGUGCUUUUUCUACCUUUUUCUUUUUCUUUUUUUCUUUUUUUUUUUUCUUUUUUUUUUUUUCUAUUUCUGUCAAGAAAAAAAGAAGCCUUUACUGGCUGAAUAAAUGCAGCCAUUCGGGCGGUGGUAUCUAGAAACUACAAGAUUAGACAAGUAAAAUCUACCACAACACCUGCUGCUCUUCUAGAUGCCCCACAUGCAGCAUUUUUAGCAAGAAUUACUGAGUCAAGAGAUAUCUAAUUAACACUUACUCCUUGUGUUUUUCGAAUCUGACCCAGGUGCAGCAGUGAAUAUGCAAGCUGAAGUUUCAGUUUUCUAGCUUUCAGUUUUUAAUGAAAAAACCACUUUUCUAUCAAACAACUGUUUUAGUUGAAGUCUUUUUUUUUGUUGUUCAGCCCCAUUGCCAAGUGCUCUCAAGCCCUAUUAAUUCUCUGUGUACAGGCAUUUAGUAUCUCUCUAAGUGCCCAAUACUUUUAUACUUGACCCUCUGGGAUCAAC